GCUCCAUGACGCCACGAACUACACCCUGGACUCCGCAAUGUGCUAUUGGCAUGUAGUGAACUCCUGUGGCGACUGGAGCACAAGUUGCAAGAAUAUGGUGUCGUCGCUCAGAUACGCCGGCAGUCCGCACGGCCUCAACAACGACUAUUACAAUCUGUAUGAAGGCACGUCCUACCGCGGAUAGGAGUUCAGAGGCGAUGAGGACGCCGCGCAAUUGGGCGACUUGGAUCUGGCCGUCUCGUCCCUGAUAGUGACUGGCCAGGCCCCGUGGACCUUCUAUUCAGGCCUGGACUUCACUCGCGCCACCGUCUGCGUGUACGCCGAUCAUACAACCACCAACGGCGGCAUUGACCUCGACUACGCAAGCAUCGCAAAUCUGAGCGAGCUCGGCCUUCCCGACAACUCCAUCAGGUCCGUG
rnacentral:lncRNA from 1 species